rnacentral:rRNA from 1 species
UACGUAGGGUGCAGGCGUUAAUCGGAAUUACUGGGCGUAAAGCGUGCGCAGGCGGUUUGCUAAGAGAGAUGUGAAAUCCCCCGGGCUUAACCUGGGAACUGCGUUUCUAACUGGCAGGCUUGAGUGUGGCAGAGGGGGGUGGAAUUCCUGGUGGUAGCGGUGAAAUGCGUAGAGAUCAGGAGGAACACCGGUGGCGAAGGCGGCCUCUGGGU